GCUUCUUUAGCUCAGUAGGUAGUAGCGCCAGUCUGAAGAACUGGAGGUCCCUGGUUCGAUUCCAGGAGGAAGCA
rnacentral:tRNA from 3 species